GUUUUUGUAGUUUAUAUAAUAAAACACUUUAUUUUCAUUAAAGAGAAAUUAUAUUUUAAUCUUAAACU
rnacentral:tRNA from 1 species